rnacentral:lncRNA from 1 species
CUUACAUCACUCGAGAGAUACACAAAUCCCCCAAACUUAUUCUUUUCACUCAAUUAUCUUGGGGUGUGUUCUAAGGUUAGGAGUUUAACAACUAUAAUCCUUACCCUCUCUUAGUUUGGAUAGAUCUUACCCUUACAAGUACACAUAUCAACAAGUAGAGACUCUCUUUAAUUUGAUUGUUUCAACCUUUAAGCUCAAACUAAGCUACUUACCUCGCAUCAAGGUUAAAGUCAUAUCAACCAAAUGUCCAACAAGGGCUUUUUUUUUCAGGUUUUUUUUCUCUCCAUCUUCUCAUUUGCUUUCUAUAUAACCCAUGUAACGAGUUUUAGGCGAUGACUCCCAAACCAGUUGGUCUUAGGGCACCAGGUUUUAAACCCUUGCAGCCUUAUUCACCCGAGUUAUAAAGGCUCGAUAAGAUGAAUUUUUGUCAACUUCUCCUUUUUCUUGCUUUCUAUAUGACCCCUGUAACGAGCUUUAGGCCGAUAAUUCCCAAACCAGUUGGCUUUAGGAUAUCAGGUUUUAA